AAAUGCGAUAAGUAAUGUGAAUUGCAGAAUCCAGUGAAUCAUCGAAUCUUUGAACGCACAUUGCGCCCGCCAGUAUUCUGGCGGGCAUGCCUGUCCGAGCGUCAUUUCAACCAUCAAGCCCCCGGGCUUGUGUUGGGGACCUGCGGCUGCCCGCAGGCCCUGAAAACCAGUGGCGGGCUCGCUGUCACACCGAGCGUAGUAGCAAUCACCUCGCUCAGGGCGUGCUGCGGGUUCCGGCCGUUAAACAGCCUUACAAAACCCAAGGUUGACCUCGGAUCAGGUAGGAAGACCCGCUGAACUUAAGC
rnacentral:misc_RNA from 1 species